AGGCUCAGAUUAGAUGUUUUAUCAGAAAAGAGAGCAAAGAGGAGGAGCAAAGUGCAUGGCUGCGAUUACAUACGUCUGUGAAAGGAUCCACUGACACAGUUGCCUCGCCAGUACAUAGGCUCUUCUCUUCACUCACAAUAUCUGAAUCAGUUGUACAAAAUAUCAUCACUGCCUCAUCAUAUCCCGAAGAAGAAGAAGAAAGAAUGAAGAUCAUGAAGGGUUUGUGUUUGGUUAUGGUGAAGAGAGAAAGAGAGAGAACAAGGACAUGGAUGUUGUUGCUGUUGCUAUGGGUAGAGAAAACAGAACUAGAAAUGAUCAUUGGCAAUGAGAGCAACUCAGAGACAGAAAUAGUCAGCUCUGAGAGCGGCAAAGCCUCACAAUAAGUAGUUGCAAAUGACUCAGAAAGAGAGAGAACACUGGCUGCGUCAACAAGAUAUAGAAGCACCUCGCCAGAAC
rnacentral:lncRNA from 1 species